GCCCUCCUAUGGGGGGCAGCAGUCGAGAAUCAUUCACAAUGGGAGAAACCCUGAUGGUGCGACGCCGCGUGGGGGAAUGAAGGUCUUCGGAUUGUAAACCCCUGUCAUGUGGGAGCAAAUUAAAAAGAUAGUACCACAAGAGGAAGAGACGGCUAACUCUGUGCCAGCAGCCGCGGUAAUACAGAGGUCUCAAGCGUUGUUCGGAAUCACUGGGCGUAAAGCGUGCGUAGGCUGUUUCGUAAGUCGUGUGUGAAAGGCGCGGGCUCAACCCGCGGACGGCACAUGAUACUGCGAGACUAAAGUGG
rnacentral:rRNA from 1 species